rnacentral:rRNA from 1 species
AAUCCAUAGGUUAAUGAGGCGAACCGGGGGAACUGAAACAUCUAAGUACCCCGAGGAAAAGAAAUCAACCGAGAUUCCCCCAGUAGCGGCGAGCGAACGGGGAGGAGCCCAGAGCCUGAAUCAGCAUGUGUGUUAGUGGAAGCGUCUGGAAAGGCGCGCGAUACAGGGUGACAGCCCCGUACACAAAAGCGCAUGUGCUGUGAGCUCGAUGAGUAGGGCGGGACACGUGGUAUCCUGUCUGAAUAUGGGGGGACCAUCCUCCAAGGCUAAAUACUCCUGACUGACCGAUAGUGAACCAGUACCGUGAGGGAAAGGCGAAAAGAACCCCGGCGAGGGGAGUGAAAAAGAACCUGAAACCGUGUACGUACAAGCAGUGGGAGCACCCUUUGGGUGUGACUGCGUACCUUUUGUAUAAUGGGUCAGCGACUUAUAUUCUGUAGCAAGGUUAACCGAAUAGGGGAGCCGGAGGGAAACCGAGUCUUAACCGGGCGUUAAGUUGCAGGGUAUAGACCCGAAACCCGGUGAUCUAGCCAUGGGCAGGUUGAAGGUUGGGUAACACUAACUGGAGGACCGAACCGACUAAUGUUGAAAAAUUAGCGGAUGACCUGUGGCUGGGGGUGAAAGGCCAAUCAAACCGGGAGAUAGCUGGUUCUCCCCGAAAGCUAUUUAGGUAGCGCCUCGUGAAUUCAUCUCCGGGGGUAGAGCACUGUUUCGGCUAGGGGGCCAUCCCGGCUUACCAACCCGAUGCAAACUGCGAAUACCGGAGAAUGUUAUCACGGGAGACACACGGCGGGUGCUAACGUCCGUCGUGAAGAGGGAAACAACCCAGACCGCCAGCUAAGGUCCCAAAGUCAUGGUUAAGUGGGAAACGAUGUGGGAAGGCCCAGACAGCCAGGAUGUUGGCUUAGAAGCAGCCAUCAUUUAAAGAAAGCGUAAUAGCUCACUGGUCGAGUCGGCCUGCGCGGAAGAUGUAACGGGGCUAAACCAUGCACCGAAGCUGCGGCAGCGACACUGUGUGUUGUUGGGUAGGGGAGCGUUCUGUAAGCCUGUGAAGGUGUGUCGUGAGGCAUGCUGGAGGUAUCAGAAGUGCGAAUGCUGACAUAAGUAACGAUAAAGCGGGUGAAAAGCCCGCUCGCCGGAAGACCAAGGGUUCCUGUCCAACGUUAAUCGGGGCAGGGUGAGUCGACCCCUAAGGCGAGGCCGAAAGGCGUAGUCGAUGGGAAACGGGUUAAUAUUCCCGUACUUGGUGUUACUGCGAAGGGGGGACGGAGAAGGCUAUGUUGGCCGGGCGACGGUUGUCCCGGUUUAAGCGUGUAGGUGUGUGUUCCAGGUAAAUCCGGUUCACUUUAACACUGAGGCGUGACGACGAGGCACUACGGUGCUGAAGCAACAAAUGCCCUGCUUCCAGGAAAAGCCUCUAAGCAUCAGGUAACAUCAAAUCGUACCCCAAACCGACACAGGUGGUCAGGUAGAGAAUACCAAGGCGCUUGAGAGAACUCGGGUGAAGGAACUAGGCAAAAUGGUGCCGUAACUUCGGGAGAAGGCACGCUGACACGUAGGUGAAGUGAUUUACUCAUGGAGCUGAAGUCAGUCGAAGAUACCAGCUGGCUGCAACUGUUUAUUAAAAACACAGCACUGUGCAAACACGAAAGUGGACGUAUACGGUGUGACGCCUGCCCGGUGCCGGAAGGUUAAUUGAUGGGGUCAGCGCAAGCGAAGCUCCUGAUCGAAGCCCCGGUAAACGGCGGCCGUAACUAUAACGGUCCUAAGGUAGCGAAAUUCCUUGUCGGGUAAGUUCCGACCUGCACGAAUGGCGUAAUGAUGGCCAGGCUGUCUCCACCCGAGACUCAGUGAAAUUGAACUCGCUGUGAAGAUGCAGUGUACCCGCGGCAAGACGGAAAGACCCCGUGAACCUUUACUAUAGCUUGACACUGAACAUUGAGCCUUGAUGUGUAGGAUAGGUGGGAGGCUUUGAAGUGUGGACGCCAGUCUGCAUGGAGCCGACCUUGAAAUACCACCCUUUAAUGUUUGAUGUUCUAACGUGGACCCGUUACCCGGGUUGCGGACAGUGUCUGGUGGGUAGUUUGACUGGGGCGGUCUCCUCCUAAAGAGUAACGGAGGAGCACGAAGGUUGGCUAAUCCUGGUCGGACAUCAGGAGGUUAGUGCAAUGGCAUAAGCCAGCUUGACUGCGAGCGUGACGGCGCGAGCAGGUGCGAAAGCAGGUCAUAGUGAUCCGGUGGUUCUGAAUGGAAGGGCCAUCGCUCAACGGAUAAAAGGUACUCCGGGGAUAACAGGCUGAUACCGCCCAAGAGUUCAUAUCGACGGCGGUGUUUGGCACCUCGAUGUCGGCUCAUCACAUCCUGGGGCUGAAGUAGGUCCCAAGGGUAUGGCUGUUCGCCAUUUAAAGUGGUACGCGAGCUGGGUUUAGAACGUCGUGAGACAGUUCGGUCCCUAUCUGCCGUGGGCGCUGGAGAACUGAGGGGGGCUGCUCCUAGUACGAGAGGACCGGAGUGGACGCAUCACUGGUGUUCGGGUUGUCAUGCCAAUGGCACUGCCCGGUAGCUAAAUGCGGAAGAGAUAAGUGCUGAAAGCAUCUAAGCACGAAACUUGCCCCGAGAUGAGUUCUCCCUGAGACUUAAAGUCUCCUGAAGGAACGUUGAAGACGACGACGUUGAUAGGCCGGGUGUGUA